rnacentral:rRNA from 1 species
UACAGAGGGGGCAAGCGUUAUUCGGAAUUAUUGGGCGUAAAGGGCGCGUAGGCGGCUUGACAAGUGGCGGGUGAAAUCCCUCGGCUUAACCGAGGAACUGCCUGCCAGACUGUCUUGCUUGAGACCGGGAGAGGUGAGUGGAAUUCCCAGUGUAGCGGUGAAAUGCGUAGAUAUUGGGAGGAACACCAGUGGCGAAGGCGGCUCACUGGACCGGAACUGACGCUGAGGCGCGAAAGCGUGGGGAGCAAACAGGG